AAUGAAAGUAAAAAUACUGCUUGUUAAAAGAUGGGAGGCUUAGGCAAACCUCAGCUUGGAGAUAAAUGCAUAUGCUUGUUUAAAAAAUUAAAGCUUGAAAAUUAAUAAUCUAAUUGUCAAUCUCAAAAAUUUAAAAUGUGAUGUCAAAUUAAAUCCAAAGAAUUAGAAAAGAGAAGAUACAUAAGAAGCAUGAGAAAAGGAAACAAUCAUAAAAUAAAUGAAAUCAGCAAAAGCCAAAGUUACUUUGAAAAGACUGAUAAAAAUAUACCAUGAUUAUGCGUGAAAUUAAAAAAAAAAAGAGUAUCCACAAAUUCUAAAUAUCAUCAAUAAUAACAAGGAAAUCAUUAUAGAUUCUAUAGUCAUGGGAUAGAAAAAGAGAAUGUAAUAAGUAAUAUAAAAUAUAACAUAGCAUAUGCAAUCCCUUUACUGAAAAUUGUGAGAUUUUACUGAGAGAAAUUAAAGAUAUUCAACAGAAAUAAAGAAUGAGGAAAAGAUUCAUUUUCAAUAAAUUGUGGUGUCUUUCAUACAUCGGUACAGAGAAAAAUGAAUAUUAACAUCCAACCUCACAACAUACACAAAAAUUAUUUCAUAUAGAAGCCAAUGUGUAACAUAAAACAGUACAGUUUUUAAAAAGUAAUACAGAGGACACUUCUAUGACCUUAAGAUUUAAAAAAAGACUCAAAAAGUAACUAUUGAAGGCUAGUAAAUAAGAUAAAUAGGUUAAUAAAUAGUAAUAAAAUAACAUAAAAAAUAGGGAUUUGUAAUCAUAAAAUAACUCACUGAGUGAAAAGGCAAGCAACAGAAUGGGAAAUGAAAUUUGCAAACAUAAAUACAAUAAGAACUCUUGAUCGAAAGAUACUUUUUAAACUCUACAAAUGAAUUUUUUGAAAAAAAAAAAAAAUAUGGCCAGGUACGGUGUCUCACGCCAUUAAUCCCAGCACUUUGGGAGGACCACUUGAGCCCGAGAAUUUGAGACUUGUCUGGGCAACACAGUGAGAGACCUCUGCCUCUACAAAAAAUUUAAAAGAUUAGCCAGGCAUGGUGGCCGUGGCCUGUAGUCCUAGCUACUCCUAAGUAGCUAGGCUCUUUUGAGUCUGGGAGGUCAAGGAUGCAGUGAGCUCUGAUCAACUGCUGCACUCCAGCCUGGGUGACAGAGUCAGAACCAUCUCCAA
rnacentral:lncRNA from 1 species